rnacentral:rRNA from 1 species
UACGAAGGGGGCUAGCGUUGUUCGGAAUCACUGGGCGUAAAGGGCGCGUAGGCGGCCGUUCAAGUCGGGGGUGAAAGCCUGUGGCUCAACCACAGAAUUGCCUUCGAUACUGGACGGCUCGAGACCGGAAGAGGUCAGUGGAGCUGCGAGUGUAGAGGUGAAAUUCGUAGAUAUUCGCAAGAACACCAGUGGCGAAGGCGGCUGACUGGUCCGGUUCUGACGCUGAGGCGCGAAAGCGUGGGGAGCAAACAGG